rnacentral:tRNA from 1 species
ACCUCUAUAACUCAGGGGCAGAGUGUCUGUCUCGUAAACAGGUCUGCGGUUCAAUCCCGCAUGGAGUCA